rnacentral:rRNA from 1 species
UACGAAGGGGGCUAGCGUUGUUCGGAAUUAGCUGGGCGUAAAGGGCGCGCAGGCGGCUCUUCAAGUCAGAUGUGAAAGCCCCGGGCUCAACCUGGGAACUGCAUUUGAGACUGGAGAGCUUGAGUUCGGGAGAGGUGAGUGGAACUGCGAGUGUAGAGGUGAAAUUCGUAGAUAUUCGCAAGAACACCAGUGGCGAAGGCGGCUCACUGGCCCGGUACUGACGCUGAGGUGCGAAAGCGUGGGGAGCAAACAGG